rnacentral:rRNA from 1 species
GAUGAACGCUGGCGGCGUGCCUAAUACAUGCAAGUCGAGCGAACAGACGAGGAGCUUGCUCCUCUGACGUUAGCGGCGGACGGGUGAGUAACACGUGGAUAACCCACCUAUAAGACUGGGAUAACUUCGGGAAACCGGAGCUAAUACCGGAUAAUAUAUUGAACCGCAUGGUUCAAUAGUGAAAGACGGUUUUGCUGUCACUUAUAGAUGGAUCCGCGCCGCAUUAGCUAGUUGGUAAGGUAACGGCUUAUCAAGGCAACGAUGCGUAGCCGACCUGAGAGGGUGAUCGGCCACACUGGAACUGAGACACGGUCCAGACUCCUACGGGAGGCAGCAGUAGGGAAUCUUCCGCAAUGGGCGAAAGCCUGACGGAGCAACGCCGCGUGAGUGAUGAAGGUCUUCGGAUCGUAAAACUCUGUUAUUAGGGAAGAACAAAUGUGUAAGUAACUAUGCACGUCUUGACGGUACCUAAUCAGAAAGCCACGGCUAACUACGUG